rnacentral:rRNA from 1 species
AGGGUUUGAUCAUGGCUCAGAACGUACGCUGGCGGCACGCCUAACACAUGCAAGUCGAACGAAGUAGCAAUACUUAGUGGCAGACGGGUGAGUAACAUGUAGGUAUCUACCCUUUGGCCUGGAAUAACACGAGGAAACUUGUGCUAAUACCGGAUAAGUCUUUACGGAGAAAGCUUUAUGCACCAUUGGAUGAGCCUGCACUUGAUUAGUUUGUUGGUGGGGUAACGGCCUACCAAGACGUUGAUCAAUAGCUGAUUUGAGAGGAUGAUCAGCCACAUUGGGACUGAGACACGGCCCAAACUCCUACGGGAGGCAGCAGUGGGGAAUCUUGCACAAUGGAGGAAACUCUGAUGCAGCGAUGCCGCGUGAGUGAAGAAGGCCUUUGGGUUGUAAAGCUCUUUCGUCGGGGAAGAAAAUGACUGUACCCGAAUAAGAAGGUCCGGCUAACUUCGUGCCAGCAGCCGCGGUAAUACGAAGGGACCUAGCGUAGUUCGGAAUUACUGGGCUUAAAGAGUUCGUAGGUGGUUGAAAAAGUUGGUGGUGAAAUCCCAGAGCUUAACUCUGGAACUGCCAUCAAAACUUUUCAGCUAGAGUUUGAUAGAGGAAAGUAGAAUUUCUAGUGUAGAGGUGAAAUUCGUAGAUAUUAGAAAGAAUACCAAUUGCGAAGGCAGCUUUCUGGAUCAUUACUGACACUGAGGAACGAAAGCAUGGGUAGCGAAGAGGAUUAGAUACCCUCGUAGUCCAUGCCGUAAACGAUGUGUGUUAGACGUUGGAAAUUUAUUUUCAGUGUCGCAGCGAAAGCGAUAAACACACCGCCUGGGGAGUACGACCGCAAGGUUAAAACUCAAAUGAAUUGACGGGGACCCGCACAAGUAGUGGAGCAUGUGGUUUAAUUCGAAGAUACGCGCAGAACCUUACCAACACUUGACAUGUUCGUCGCGACUUUAAGAGAUUAAAGUUUUCGGUUCGGCCGGACGAAACACAGGUGCUGCAUGGCUGUCGUCAGCUCGUGUCGUGAGAUGUUGGGUUAAGUCCCGCAACGAGCGCAACCCUCACUUUUAGUUGCCAUCAUUAAGUUGGGCACUCUGAAAGAACUGCCAGUGAUAAGCUGGAGGAAGGUGGGGAUGACGUCAAGUCCUCAUGGCCCUUACGUGUUGGGCUACACACGUGCUACAAUGGUAUCUACAACAGGAAGCGAGACGGCGACGUUCAGCAAAUCCUUAAAAGAUACCUCAGUUCGGAUUGCACUCUGCAACUCGAGUGCAUGAAGCUGGAAUUACUAGUAAUCGUGGAUCAGCGUGCCACGGUGAAUGCGUUCCCGGGUCUUGUACACACCGCCCGUCACACCAUGGGAGUUGGUUCUACCUUAAGGCAAGGUUUUAAACCCUUGACUACGGUAUAGUCAGCGACUGGGGUGAAGUCGUAACAAGGUAGCCGUA